rnacentral:lncRNA from 1 species
GAAAGAAAAUUUGGAAAAAUGAAGUGCACAGAUAAUUUUUCUGGCCUCUUUUUCUUUCACUAGAUAAGAAAACUUCUAGAAAAUAACCCCAGCAACUUGACUUUAAUGGAAAAUACACUGGACUGGGAGUCGGGUUUCCUUCUACAUGCCUAAAAUAGUGAUGGCAGCAUCCACUCAUAAAAGUUCCAGUGCUAGCAAUCAGUCUUGAGAUCAUUAGUUUUCCUGAAGUACAACUGAAAAUGAAGCCCUCCCUUGACUGCUAAUGGCACUCACCUCUACAAUUAUGGAAAUGGUCUUCCUCUUGCUGAAAAUGUGUCUAGUUCU